AGUUAAUCUUAAUAUUUUGAUGGAGAUAGGAUUAAAUCUAAGGUCCUUCAGAAUAUUUGGCGGAUUUUAAGAGCAAUAGAGAAGAAUUCUCCACUUUUUUUUUAUUAUUAAUUUCUCGCAGAUGUAAAAGCGGAUAAUUUGGCACGAAAACUCCGUAUCGAACCACAUCAUAUCACAUUUAUAAACAACAUACUCCACAAAUAGCUCGUUUGAGUUGUUGUUUUUUUAGUAAAUCGGUUGACAAAAAAAA
rnacentral:sRNA from 1 species